rnacentral:siRNA from 1 species
UGUGUCAUUUAUAUGAAGA